rnacentral:rRNA from 1 species
AUGACUCCAACUAAGCAACACCACCUCCAUGUCCUCCUGCUCCUCCUCAUAUGCUCCUCCUCCAUAGUUGUUGCAGCCAAGCAUAACACCGCUGUCCUUUGCCACCCUGAUCAAGCUUCUUCCCUGCUCCAGCUAAAGCAAUCCUUCAUCGACGUCGAUGCAAAGUUGGCUUCAUGGCGAGCUGGAAGUGACUGCUGCCAUUGGGAGGGCGUCACCUGUGACAGGGACUCUGGGAGAGUCAUUUCCCUAGACCUUGGUGGGUUUAACUUGAUGAGCCGUCAUCUUCACCCUGCAAUCUUCAACCUCACAUCUCUGAGGAACCUCAGCCUUGCACACAAUGACUUCGGCACUGCCACCCUCCCAACUCACGGGUUCGAGCAGCUCCCAAAUAUCAUUCAUCUCAACUUCUCCUCUACCAGUUUUUUCGGCCAGUUUCCUGUUGGAAUUGCCCGCCUCAAGAACCUUGCCACUCUUGAUUUUUCUGAUAAUUUUGACUUAUAUCUACAAGAGCCAAACUUCCAGACCUUCAUGGCAAAUCUAAGCUAUCUGAGGGAGCUCCGGCUUGAUGCAGUAGACAUCUCCACCAGCGGAUCAAAUUGGUCCAUUGUUCUGGCGGACUCUGUUCCUCAGCUGCAAAUUCUUAGCUUGUUUCUGUGCGGUAUGUCUGGCCCUAUCCAUCAUUCUUUCUCGAGGCUUCGUUCCCUAACGAUUAUCAAUCUCAGAAACAAUGAGAGGCUCACUGGCAAAGUUCCUGAAUUCUUUGUUGAAUUUUCUUCCUUGAGAAUUCUUGAUAUAUCAGGAUGUUCUUUUAGAGGGCAAUUUCCAACAAAAAUUAUCCUGAUGAAAAGUUUGAGGGUGAUAGAUUUAUCUGAGAGCCCUAAACUUUCUGUGUGCUUACCAGAUUUCCCAGUUGGAAAUAACCUGGAGGUGUUAAAUCUAGCAGGGACCACUUUGUCUUGUGAUAUACGGUCGUCUCUUACAAAUCUCAAGUCUUUGAAGAAUUUGGGUCUAAGCACUUCAGAAGUUUCCAUGGAGCUCUCUUUGAUAAUUGGCAGUCUUGCGAAUUUGACAGUAUUGGACCUCUCAGAUUGCAACUUCUCUGGUUCAAUUCCCUCAACAGUUGGGAACUUGGUCCAACUUGAAGAUUUGAAUCUUGGGGGCUGCAACCUUUCUGGUCAAAUCCCAAAAUCUUUGUUUGCUCUUCCAGCACUGAAAUCACUUACUCUAAGUUCAAACCAACUUUCCGGUGCUCUGGAAGACAUUCCUGCCCCACUGUAUUCACCCUUGCGUUAUAUUCACUUAGACCAAAAUGAGCUCACGGGUGCAAUACCCAAAUCAUUCUUUCAUCUUAAUCACCUCAAAUAUCUCCAUCUUGACUCAAAUAGAUUCACAAGCACAAUUACACUUAGCUCUUUUUGGAGGUUGAAGAGCCUUAGUUCGCUGCGUUUGUCUAACAACUUGUUAUCAAUUGUGGACGAAGAAGACAACAUAGUAACCUCUCUCCCAAACAUCAACGACUUAGAACUUGCAUCUUGCAACCUCACCAAAAUUCCUCGAGCACUGACAUAUCUAGAUAGAGUUGAAUAUCUCGACCUUUCGAAUAAUCAAAUUCAUGGGUUUAUACCAAGUUGGGUAUGGGAGAAUUGGAAGGACCAGCUUCAAAUAUUGAACCUCUCUCAUAACAUGUUUACUAGUUUGGAGAGAUCUCCUUUUCUUGUUGAUAUGCCAUAUUUAUUCACCCUCGAUCUUAGUUAUAAUAGACUUGAAGGAAGCAUACCAAUACCAAUAAUAUUACACCUCUCAUCGGUAUUCAUCUCAUCAUACAUAAAGGUUGUGUUGGAUUACUCGAACAAUAACUUCUCUUCCAUAUUACCUGACUUUGGAAAAUAUGUAAAAAACGUCACGUACCUCAAUUUGUCCAACAAUAAAUUAAAUGGCCAUGUGUCAUCCUCCAUUUGUAGUGCCAGCAAAUUAAGUGUCAUGGACUUAUCAUACAACAAUUUUCGUGGUUUGAUCCCAUCGUGUCUGAUAGGAAGCGGAAAUCUGAAAAUAUUGAAACUGAGAGAAAAUCAAUUCCAAGGAAUGCUACCUAAAGAUAUUAGAGAAGGAUGUAAGUUUCAAACAAUAGAUUUGAAUGGAAACCAAAUUGAAGGUAAAAUACCAAGAUCACUAUCAAAUUGUCAAGACCUAGAGCUUCUUGAUGUUGGAAACAAUCAGAUUCUCGGUUCUUUCCCAUCUUGGUUGGGUGUUCUUCCACAGCUUCGAGUUCUAGUAUUAAGAUCCAACCAACUCAAUGGUUCAAUAUGGGAUAUUAAAGGUGACUGUACAAUCAACAAAUACUUCUCAAGUUUGCAAAUACUUGAUUUGGCCUCCAACAACUUCUCUGGAAACCUACCAAAAGGAUGGUUUCAUAAACUGAAAGCGAUGAUGGAAAAUGUCAGUGACGAGGGACAAGUUCUAGGACAUGAGACAGAUUCAAGAUCAGGAUUUUAUCAAGAUACUGUUACCAUCACUUUCAAAGGGCUUGAUCUUAGUUUCAUCAGAAUCCUAAGCACUUUCAACGCAAUAGAUUUCUCAAAUAACUCAUUUGAGGGUCAUGUUCCGGAGUCUAUUGGAAGACUUGUUUCCCUACGCUAA